GUGCUCACUUCAUCAGCACAUACACUAAAAUUGUAGUGACAUAGAAAGGUUAGCAUAGCCCCUGCACAAGGAUGACACACAAAUUCAUGAAGCAUUCCACAUUAAA